CGUAGGUCACAAGCGUUGUCCGGAAUUACUGGGUGUAAAGGGAGCGCAGGCGGGAAGACAAGUUGGAAGUGAAAUCUAUGGGGCCCCAACCCAUAAACUAGCUUUCUAAAACUAGUUUUUCUUUGAGUAGUGCAGAGGUAGGCGGAAUUCCCGGUGUAGCGGUGGAAUGCGUAGAUAUCGGGAGGAACACCAGUGGCGAAGGCGGCCUACUGGGCACCAACUGACGCUGAGGCUCGAAAGUGUGGGUAGCAAACAGGAUU
rnacentral:rRNA from 1 species